CCUACGGGGGGCUGCAGUGAGGAAUAUUGGUCAAUGGGCGGGAUCAUGAACCAGCCAAGUAGCGUGAAGGAUGACUGCCCUACGGGUUGUAAACUUCUUUUAUAAAGGAAUAAAGUGAGGCACGUGUGCCUUUUUGAAUGUACUUUAUGAAUAAGGAUCGGCUAACUCCGUGCCAGCAGCCGCGGUAAUACGGAGGAUCCGAGCGUUAUCCGGAUUUAUUGGGUUUAAAGGGUGCGUAGGUCGGUUUUUAAGUUAGCUGUGAAAGUCCGCGGCUCAACCGUGGAAUUGCAGUUGAAACUGUAGGACUAGAGAGCACACAGAGAUGCCGGAAUGCGUGGUGUAGCGGUGAAAUGCUUAGAUAUCAGGAAGAACACCGAUCGCGAAGGCAGGUGUCCGGGGUGCAACUGACGCUGAGGCUCGAAAGUGCGGGGAUCAAACAGGAUUAGAUACACCUGUAGUC
rnacentral:rRNA from 1 species